AUUGCUUCUUCUUGCAUCGCACGAUGAGGGUAUCAAAGCUUGAAAUGAUUUAUACUAUUGAUUUUCUCACGUUACAUGUCGCAUGUCGUGAAGUGGAUGCUAAUCUUCUCAAACUGGUUGUCUUAUCUAGGUACCUCAUUCUCGAUCUAAUUUUUUGACUCCCAACCCAAUUUUAUUUGCACAAUCCCAGCCAGAGCUCAAGCUUUGCCUGCCGCAGCCACCAGUUCUAUCCGAAGCUCCGCUCCCUGCACAGCUCGUCCGUGUGGAGUUUGAGAUCCAAACUCGACGACAUCGGACGCCGCUCCAACGGUCCAACCCUAACGCUGCCAUCCAUGCAGGAUCCGACCUGCUCGCUGCCUGCACCGAUUCAUGGUCCCCUUCACCAGAAUCAAACCUCGCCGCUCAAUUUGCUCACCUAGCACCCCGAUUUGGGUUGCCGCUGCAAUAUGCUCCUCCGGCAUCUGAUGGAAAACACUCUGAACUUGCAUUCAUCUGAAAGGGGACCUCUCUCAAUGAUAGCAAGAAUUCUUUCAAUUCACAUAAUUAUAUUGAUCAAAGUCUCAAAUUGACAAAAUUUCCACUUUACAAUCUUAAUUCCCAUCAAAUUACAUUUUCAAAUGGAGAUUCAGCAUGAUAUGAUUUUCCACAACCUCAGUUUCUCAGGGGGUGGCCAGCCUUCCUCCUGCGCCAGUACUAGCACCACCGUGUCAACCUUCUUGUGGUGAUGCACACCUGGAGCACGAAGCUUGUUGCCAACUGCAUCCAUGGCUGGGCUCCUCGGCGGCAGCGACCCGUCGGAUGCCACAGCCAAGUCAAAGGGGCCAAGCCAAGCAUGACAUCUGGCGGCGGCAGUGGACGCCCAACAGCCCAACACGACGGUGGUGGGGUAGCGACAAGCGAGCCACGACACUCAAUGGUGGUGGAUGGCGAGGAAGAAGCUGCAAGAAUCGGCGGCACAUAGCAGCGACUCGGAGGGGAUUUUGUAGAGUAGAUUUGGACAUGCAGUCUUGUUGCCAC
rnacentral:lncRNA from 1 species